rnacentral:piRNA from 1 species
UAAAUUUGUCUUCCAUAAAUG